AGAAUUGACGGGGGCCCGCACAAGCGGUGGAGUAUGUGGUUUAAUUCGACGCAACGCGAAGAACCUUACCGAGGCUUGACAUUGAGUGAAAAUCCUAGAGAUAGGACUUCUCUUUCGAGAGCACGAAAACAGGUGGUGCAUGGUUGUCGUCAGCUCGUGUCGUGAGAUGUUGGGUUAAGUCCCGCAACGAGCGCAACCCCUAUCCUAUGUUACCAGCAAGUUAAGUUGGGGACUCAUGGGAGACUGCCAGGGACAACCUGGAGGAAGGCGGGGAUGACGUCAAAUCAUCAUGCCCCUUAUGCCUCGGGCUACACACGUACUACAAUGGUCGGCAACAGAGGGCAGCGAAACCGCGAGGUGGAGCAAAUCCCAGAAACCCGACCCCAGUUCGGAUUGCAGGCUGCAACUCGCCUGCAUGAAGUUGGAAUCGCUAGUAAUCGCAGGUCAGCAUACUGCGGUGAAUACGUUCCCGGGCCUUGUACACACCGCCCGUCACACCACGAAAGUUGAUAACACCCAAAGCCAGUGAGAUAACCUUUUAGGAGUCAGCUGUCUAAGGUGGGAUUGAUGAUUGGGGUGAAGUCGUAACAAGGUAACCAA
rnacentral:rRNA from 1 species